rnacentral:rRNA from 1 species
GACGAACGCUGGCGGCGUGCCUAAUACAUGCAAGUCGAACGCACUCUCGUUUAGAUUGAAGGAGCUUGCUCCUGAUUGAUAAACAUUUGAGUGAGUGGCGGACGGGUGAGUAACACGUGGGUAACCUGCCCUAAAGUGGGGGAUAACAUUUGGAAACAGAUGCUAAUACCGCAUAAAACCUAAACACCGCAUGGUGUAGGGUUGAAAGAUGGUUUCGGCUAUCACUUUAGGAUGGACCCGCGGUGCAUUAGUUAGUUGGUGAGGUAAAGGCUCACCAAGACCGUGAUGCAUAGCCGACCUGGGAGGGUAAUCGGCCACACUGGGACUGAGACACGGCCCAGACUCCUACGGGAGGCAGCAGUAGGGAAUCUUCCACAAUGGACGAAAGUCUGAUGGAGCAACGCCGCGUGAGUGAAGAAGGUUUUCGGAUCGUAAAACUCUAGUUGUUGGAGAAGAAUGUAUCUGAUAGUAACUGAUCAGGUAGUGACGGUAUCC